rnacentral:tRNA from 1 species
AGAAACUUAGGAUAAUAUCUAAACCAGGAGCCUUCAAAGCCCCAAAUAAGAGUUAUAGCCUCUUAGUUUCUG